GGAAGGAGGAGAGGUGAUCAGUUAGAAGGAGGCAUCAUCAUGGCUUUACAUAGUUUCUUGGGGAAUUCGGAAAGUUCUUAAUCAUAUUGCAGAGAGAUAUGGCAAUCCACCUGUCUAUAUCACUGAAAAUGCAAUCUAUUUCAUGUGUUUGGUUGUUCUACGGAAAGCAUGAAAGCAACUACAUUAGAGGAGAGCAAGAACCCCAGAAGAAAAGCGCAGACCCUUCGAGGCCUUCCAGAUCCUUGGGCAGCAGUAUAAUGUGUGUUGUCAGGAGAGGUAUGCUUUUCUAGAUACAAGUAUAAAGUUUUUUCCCAUAUCUGAGCACGUUCAUUAUCUAAACUUGAAAAUUUAUGCCAUCACUAUGAAAUAUAUCUGAAUCUUUAUGAUGCAUUACAAGAUCAAAAAGUCCUGGGGAUGAUGCUAGUGGAAACUCACGAAAUAAAACUUCAUGACCUUCGAUAAAGUAUUUUUUCCUCCUCAUUACUUGGUCAUAUAGAAUACGUUAAUUAGUUGCCUUAAUCGUUUUCCCAAUGGAGAACUGUUUGGUUGUAGUUCUUACCAAUGAGACUUCCUGCGGUUAACCUGAGAGUUGAUUUCAACCUUUACAAUCUCUUUGCA